UUGCCCUCUGCUCUGACACCAGAGCUGUCACCUUCCCCGCAUGCUGCAUACCUGAGCCUGACCUUUCCUAGGGCCAGAAGCCAGCAGGACCUCAGGGAGCCCCGGCCCUCGGCAUGCCCCCCAGGUGAGUGCAGGUGCAGCUGGGAGUGGCUGGGUACCCAGGCUGCCCCCAGUGUCCAUUCCCUCAGUCACUCCUCAGGGCCUCAGGCCUGCGGGGGCUUCAAGGGAGUCUCAGCAGCAUAAAGUCCUCCCAUGGGGCGCCCCUGGCUGCUGUGUCAGCCCAGACUGUGGGCUGUUUUGGGGUCUCCUCUGGACUCACCUGCUCCUUUGACCCUAAGAUGGCUGUGAGUCUCCCAGGAGAUGCUCUCCCAGGACUGUGUCUCCUGGAGCUGAGGACCCCCCACACCUGGAGGAGGGCCCUGCUCUGCUCACACACCUGGUGCUCACUCUCGUCUCUGCUCCCCAGGUCAUGGCUGCCCCCACAACACGGCCUCUCCAGUCCCCCUGCACGACUCCAGGGCAGCCGUUCCCAUCUAUGAGGAACUUCUAAACCGUGACACAAACAUUUAUUGUCAGAUCAACCACAAAGCAGAAGUUGCUCCAUACUUUCCCCAAGGAACUUGGGCAGCUGAGGGGAGGGGCCACGUGACCCACAGAGGCUGGGAAGGAGCUGAGCCUGUGCCCAAGGUUCAGCUCUGAGCCCAGGGAGCCACUGGGUGCUCGGGGUGGGGGCAGGUCCCUCCUGGACUCCUAGAGACCCAGAGAGGCUGCCCUGAGCUCAGGCUCAGCCAGGACAAAAUCCUCCCUUCCCAACCCUUAUGGGAUUGGGGGUCUUCCAGGAAAGUGAAAGGAGCCUGUGCCCCACCAUGGAUUACUUGGA
rnacentral:lncRNA from 1 species